rnacentral:rRNA from 1 species
UGGGGAAUAUUGCGCAAUGGGGGAAACCCUGACGCAGCGACGCCGCGUGAGCGAUGAAGGCCUUAGGGUUGUAAAGCUCUGUUUUAAGGGACGAAUGUUACGGGGAGUAAUAUGCCCUGUAAAUGACGGUACCUUAAGUGGAAGCCCCGGCUAACUACGUGCCAGCAGCCGCGGUAAGACGUAGGGGGCGGGCGUUGUCCGGAAUUACUGGGCGUAAAGAGCACGUAGGCGGGACUUUAAGUCAGGUGUGAAAUACCGGGGCUCAACCUCGGGGUGGCACUUGAAACUGGGGUUCUUGAGGGCAGGAGAGGAAAGUAGAAUUCCUGGUGUAGCGGUGAAAUGCGUAGAAAUCAGGAGGAAUACCAGUGGCGAAGGCGACUUUCUGGACUGACCCUGACGCUGAGGUGCGAAAGCGUGGGUAGCAAACAG